rnacentral:piRNA from 1 species
UCACAAGUGUUGUUUUGAGUUUGGUCUGA